rnacentral:rRNA from 1 species
UGGGGAAUAUUGCACAAUGGAGGGAACUCUGAUGCAGCGACGCCGCGUGAGUGAUGAAGGAAUUCGUUUCGUAAAACUCUGUUCUAUGGGAAGAAAAGGACUGUACCAUAGGAGAAAGCUCCGGCUAAAUACGUGCCAGCAGCCGCGGUAAUACGUAUGGAGCGAGCGUUGUCCGGAAUUAUUGGGCGUAAAGGGUGCGCAGGCGGCUUUACAAGUUGGAUGUGAAAUAUUGUGGCUCAACCACAAACGUGCAUCCAAAACUGCAAAGCUUGAGUUAAUGAGAGGUAAGUGGAAUUCCUGGUGUAGCGGUGGAAUGCGUAGAUCUCAGAAGAAAUACCGGUGGCGAAGGCGACUUACUGGACUUAAACUGACGCUCAGGCACGAAAGCGUGGGGAGCAAACAGG